AGCGAACGCUGGCGGCAGGCUUAACACAUGCAAGUCGAACGCCCCUUUCGGGGGGAGUGGCAGACGGGUGAGUAACGCGUGGGAACGUGCCCAUCGGUUCGGGAUAACCCAGGGAAACUUGGGCUAAUACCGGAUACGACCGUGAGGUGAAAGAACUUCGCCGAUGGAUUGGCCCGCGUCGGAUUAGCUGGUUGGUAGGGUAACGGCCUACCAAGGCGACGAUCAGUAGCUGGUCUGAGAGGAUGAUCAGCCACACUGGGACUGAGACACGGCCCAGACUCCUACGGGAGGCAGCAGUGGGGAAUAUUGGACAAUGGGCGCAAGCCUGAUCCAGCCAUGCCGCGUGAGUGAUGAAGGCCCUAGGGUUGUAAAGCUCUUUCGCACGCGACGAUAAUGACGGUAGCGUGGGAAGAAGCCCCGGCUAACUUCGUGCCAGCAGCCGCGGUAAGAC
rnacentral:rRNA from 1 species